GGAUGACCUGAUCAGACCAGCCGGGUGAAGUAAUCUGUUACUGAAUACCACGUCUGGAUCCUGACCCGUAUCGAGGCGGUUUGAAGACCCGUUGGUUUCCUAUCCCCUGUUGGGAUGACCUCUCCUGCUAAACCCUCGUUGGGUUGGAGUUCCUCCGAGUUCCCCGUUGGGACACAGUUGACGGUUCCGCUCCAGUCCUGAACUUACCGGAUCUCGGCCGCACGGCCCGAAGUCUAAGACGACACUACAUUCCCGUGGGGUGAUAUUCAGAUGUCCAGGUUUUCGCAUCAAGAAAGAGGAGGAGCAUUGUCAGGCAGUCCAUUAUAUAGGGGCCACCGACAUGGGCGUGGCUAUAGGUGCAGGGACUGCUGGGAGUUGUAGUCCAUGUUGAAAAGUUUUUUACAUUAAAAGUUACUAAGAAAAGUUUUUAAAUGUACUGCUAUGGGCAUAAAUAAAGAAAGUUUAUGCAUAAGA